rnacentral:rRNA from 1 species
AUUGAACGCUGGCGGCAUGCUUUACACAUGCAAGUCGAACGGUAACAGGGUGCUUGCACCGCUGACGAGUGGCGAACGGGUGAGUAAUGCGUCGGAACGUGCCGAGUAGUGGGGGAUAACGCAGCGAAAGUUGUGCUAAUACCGCAUACGUACUGAGGUAGAAAGUGGGGACCUUCGGGCCUCACGCUAUUCGAGCGGCCGACGUCUGAUUAGCUAGUAGGUGAGGUAAAGGCUCACCUAGGCGACGAUCAGUAGCGGGUCUGAGAGGAUGAUCCGCCACACUGGGACUGAGACACGGCCCAGACUCCUACGGGAGGCAGCAGUGGGGAAUUUUGGACAAUGGGCGAAAGCCUGAUCCAGCCAUGCCGCGUGUCUGAAGAAGGCCUUCGGGUUGUAAAGGACUUUUGUCGGGGAGGAAAUCCCCAGCGUUAAUACCGCUGGGGGAUGACAGUACCUGAAGAAUAAGCACCGGCUAACUACGUGCCAGCCGCCGCAGUAAUAC